rnacentral:rRNA from 1 species
UGGGGAAUAUUGGACAAUGGGCGAAAGCCUGAUCCAGCAAUGCCGCGUGUGUGAAGAAGGCCUGCGGGUUGUAAAGCACUUUCAGUUGGGAGGCGUAACCAACAGAAGAAGCACCGGCUAACUCUGUGCCAGAGCCGCGGUAAAACCGGUUACUCCUACGG